rnacentral:rRNA from 1 species
GACGAACGCUGGCGGCGUGCCUAAUACAUGCAAGUUGAGCGAUGAAGAUUGGUGCUUGCCCCAAUUUGAAGAGCAGCGAACGGGUGAGUAACGCGUGGGGAAUCUGCCUUUGAGCGGGGGACAACAUUUGGAAACGAAUGCUAAUACCGCAUAACAACUUUAAACAUAAGUUUUAAGUUUGAAAGAUGCAAUUGCAUCACUCAAAGAUGAUCCCGCGUUGUAUUAGCUAGUUGGUGAGGUAAAGGCUCACCAAGGCGAUGAUACAUAGCCGACCUGAGAGGGUGAUCGGCCACAUUGGGACUGAGGCACGGCCCAAACUCCUACGGGAGGCAGCAGUAGGGAAUCUUCGGCAAUGGACGAAAGUCUGACCGAGCAACGCCGCGUGAGUGAAGAAGGUUUUCGGAUCGUAAAACUCUGUUGGUAGAGAAGAACGUUGGUGAGAGUGGAAAGCUCAUCAAGUGACGGUAACUACCCAGAAAGGGACGGCUAACUACGUG